rnacentral:tRNA from 1 species
GAAAAACUUUUAUUUUAAUUUUAGAAUAUCUCAUUUACAAUGAGAAGGUAAAAAGUUUU